ensembl:lncRNA
AUGGUCUCAUGCUCAUCCUCGAGCAGCUCUUACUGGUCCAGUAAAGGGCCACGCGGUGCAGGGACCUCCGGAGCACCUCAGCAGGGACCCAGGGGCCUGGCAAAGGUGAGCGGAUCCUCGGCGUGCAGAGCUGGAGGCAGCCAAGGGCGCUUUCCGUCAGGCCGGGGAACUUUCCAAAGGUUCCUCCCUGCCGCGGCCGAGCCAGCAUCCUCCCUGUGCGCCGCGGUGGGGCCGGAUCCUGGCCCGCUGCCCUGCGGGAGCAGCCCUGCUCCUUUAGCAGGAGCAUUCCCACCUCAGCACCAGCUCUCGGAGAGCAGGAGCAGCCCCGCUGCUGCCCCCCGGUCUCUCCCAUCUCCCUGUGCCUGGGCUUUGCUGGGCGUUGGAGAGCGACGGAGGGAAAGGGAGGAGUGCUCGAACACCGAGCUGCGUUUGCCAGUGCCAAAUUGUCCUUCCUCCAGCCCUUUUAGGAGGUUGUCGGCAGGUUGGGGUCCUUUAUAACCAGCUGGGGCUGCGAAGCUCCAGGCUGGGAGGCUGGGCUCUUUUAGGGCCGUGUUUGUGUGCGCUGCCUCCUGGGUGUCCAACAGAUGGGUGUCCAAAAAUUGGCAUCUUUGGAGCCCUCCCGUGCUGCACAGGCAGGCAGGGGGUGCACGUGUGGACGGGGAGGUGUGAGCAUGGACAGGAGAGAUGCACGCUGAGGUGGGGAGAAGGGCACAAAGGAGGGGAGAUGGGCACAAAAAGGGGGAGAUGGGCACAUGUACGGAUGGAGCAAGAGGUCCCCAUGCACCCGGAUCUGCCGCUGGGCCGACCCCAUGCCAGCACCACACUGCUAUGGUCUGCGGGGCUCAGGCCAGGCUGGGGAAUGGUUCUGGCACCGGUGGUUCCCUGGGAAAGGGAAAUAACGCAGAAAAAUAAUGCAGAAAAUAACAAAUAAUGCAGAAAACACCUGGGGAGCAGCCCACUGUGGGGUUGUGAGGAGGAGCUGCACCCCCUGGGCACGGUCUGCGUGCACGCUGCCGUGCCAGGCUUCAAGGCAGAGGUGCAGAAAAUGAGUGUUUGGCAGCAGAAGCAGCAAACAGGGACUUUUACACCCAUUUCGAUGGCAUCCCAAGCCCCCAGGUCCUGCUGCCUCCGCCCAACCCACCCACGUCUGCUUUGUCCUUGGGGCCUCAGCUGGGAAACUCGGCCGGGCGUGGGGAACGGCUCCGCUGCCACCGAGCAUCCGAAAUGCUGACGGCUUUUCCAGGCUGCUCCCAGCCUCAUCCAGCUCCGGGGUGGCUCCGUCCCUCCCCGCCCAGCCGGGUCCCACUCAGACCAGUGGCCACACCAGCAAAAAACGCCCUGGGAGUCCUGGUGGUGGGGAUUUGCUGGUAGGCAGCAGCCCCGCUGCUUUCACUUGGAGCUCCCGGAGCAAAUAAUUACAGGAGGCAGCAGGCACAGGGUACGCCGUGACAGAUCCCAGCACGAGGCUCCUCGACGCCGUGAUUUUGUGUGGGUUUUGGGUACGGGCUCCUCCUGCAGCAGAAGCCUCCGGGUCCCCUGCCCUGCAGGAAAAUGCCUUCUGUGCCCCCAGGCGCUCACGGGGCCCCAGAGGCGAAGAGGGCGGUGGGAAGAAGGAUUGUAGUCCCCAUCCUACAGCCUGCUCCUACUCAGGGGGGUUCCCCAAGGCUGUUUCCACCUCCCCAGGCCCACGUGGGGUGACCUGGAGAAGUGACAGCCCCGGGGAGCCCGGCGGGACCCCAAAAUCCCCGGGGUGGCUACGGCAAGCAGGAGCGUGCCAAGGGCGCGCCUCCAACGUGCCGGUGUUCAGCUGGUGUUUCUCAUUGCUUUGCUGGCCGGGGUGCGGGGCUAUUUAAAUAUAGAUCCUGAAAAAUAUAUAUUUAAACGUUAAAGCAGGGUUUGUUUCAAAAGUGAAAGUUCACGCUGGCAGAAAAACCUUUCCUUUUAGCCAAAAGCCCCAGCCCCGGCACUCCCAGGACCCCUUGGCCCUGCUCCAGGUCUGUUCCUGAGUCCUCAGCUUCGGAUGCUGGGGGGCCACCUCCCGGCACAAGCCGCUCCCGCACCUCUGCACCCCAUCCCUGGGGGUGUCCGGGGGGGGGGCAGGAGGGGCAGAGCACCCCAGGAAGGGCAGGGGGCUCCUGGGGGUCAUCACGGUCCUCAGGGAUGCGGUUGGGAGGUGGGAGGGUUGGGGGGUCCCCAAAAAGGUUGCCAGGGGAAGGGAGGGGUGUCUGGGGGGGGGAUACCCAAAAAGGAUGCUGGGGGAAGGAAGGGAGAGGAGUGGGGU